AUGAGAUUGUUUGCUGCUUUCCACGCAGGAGAGCUGGACGUUUGUAGACUGAAUUAUGGCAUUAUUACUUUGUUGCCUAAAAUCAAUGGGGCCAAUAAGAUCCAGCAGUUUAGGCCGAUUUGCUUGCUGAGAUGUCCCUACAAGUUAAUAACUAAUGUGCUUGAUAACAGGGUGGCCCCUUUUGCUGAUAAAUUGUUUAGUAAGCAUCAAAAUUCCUUUAUCAAGCAUAGAAACAUCAUGGAUGGGGUAUUGUCGUUGCACAAAAUUCUGCAUCAUACUUACAACAAGAAGAAGGUGGGUAUUGUCAUCAAGCUUGAUUUCGAGAAAGCUUAUGACAAAGUGAACUGGGAAUUUCUUUUGGAAUGUCUUGAGAUGAGAGGGUCUGGUCCCACAUGGUGUGGGUGGAUUAAAAGUGUCCUGGUUGAUGGCACAGUCAGUGUGAAGCUGAACAAUGUGAUGGGGCCAUAUUUCAAGAGCUUUAAAGGGGUUAGACAGGGGGAUCCUGUGUCGCCCUUCCUUUUUAACAUUGCUGCUGAAUGCUUGUGUAAAAUGGUGCUGCAGGCGCAGAGAAAUAAUCUAGUUGUGGGACUUGCUCCGGAUCUUGUUGAAAAUGGAGUGGCAAUACUGUAA
rnacentral:rRNA from 1 species